rnacentral:rRNA from 1 species
UACGUAGGGUGCAGGCGUUAAUCGGAAUUACUGGGCGUAAAGCGUGCGCAGGCGGUCUUUUAAGUCAGAUGUGAAAUCCCCGGGCUUAACCUGGGAACUGCGUUUGAAGCUGAAAGGCUAGAGUGUGGCAGAGGGGGGUGGAAUUCCACGUGUAGCAGUGAAAUGCGUAGAGAUGUGGAGGAACACCGAUGGCGAAGGCAGCCCCCUGGGCUAACACUGACGCUCAUGCACGAAAGCGUGGGGAGCAAACAGG